rnacentral:rRNA from 1 species
AUUGAACGCUGGCGGCAGGCUUAACACAUGCAAGUCGAACGAGUGGCGGACGGGUGAGUAAUGUCUGGGAAACUGCCUGAUGGAGGGGGAUAACUACUGGAAACGGUAGCUAAUACCGCAUACCAUCGGAUGAGCCCAGAUGGGAUUAGAUAGUAGGUGGGGUAAAGGCUCACCUAGGCGACGAUCCCUAGCUGGUCUGAGAGGAUGACCAGCCACACUGGGACUGAGAAACGUGCCAGACUCCUACGGGAGGCAGCAGGGGGGAAUAUUGCGCAAUGGGGGCAAGCCUGAUGCAGCCAUGCCGCGUGUAUGAAGAAGGCCUUCGGGUUGUAAAGUACUUUCGGCAGGGAGGCGUUACCCACAGAAGAAGCACCGGCUAACGCCGUGCCAGCAGCCGCGGUAAUAC